CAAAGAAUAGUUUAAUGAAUAGAAUAUUAAUUUUGGAGAUUAAAGGUAUAUAUAUGAAGUAUAUUUUUUUGA
rnacentral:tRNA from 1 species